UGCAGUCGAACGAUGAACCACUUCGGUGGGGAUUAGUGGCGAACGGGUGAGUAACACGUGGGCAAUCUGCCCUGCACUCUGGGACAAGCCCUGGAAACGGGGUCUAAUACCGGAUACUGAUCAUCUUGGGCAUCUUGGAUGAUCGAAAGCUCCGGCGGUGCAGGAUGAGCCCGCGGCCUAUCAGCUAGUUGGUGAGGUAAUGGCUCACCAAGGCGACGACGGGUAGCCGGCCUGAGAGGGCGACCGGCCACACUGGGACUGAGACACGGCCCAGACUCCUACGGGAGGCAGCAGUGGGGAAUAUUGCACAAUGGGCGAAAGCCUGAUGCAGCGACGCCGCGUGAGGGAUGACGGCCUUCGGGUUGUAAACCUCUUUCAGCAGGGAAGAAGCGAAAGUGACGGUACCUGCAGAAGAAGCGCCGGCUAACUACGUGCCAGCAGCCGCGGUAAUACGUAGGGCGCGAGCGUUGUCCGGAAUUAUUGGGCGUAAAGAGCUCGUAGGCGGCUUGUCACGUCGGUUGUGAAAGCCCGGGGCUUAACCCCGGGUCUGCAGUCGAUACGGGCAGGCUAGAGUUCGGUAGGGGAGAUCGGAAUUCCUGGUGUAGCGGUGAAAUGCGCAGAUAUCAGGAGGAACACCGGUGGCGAAGGCGGAUCUCUGGGCCGAUACUGACGCUGAGGAGCGAAAGCGUGGGGAGCGAACAGGAUUAGAUACCCUGGUAGUCCACGCCGUAAACGGUGGGCACUAGGUGUGGGCGACAUUCCACGUCGUCCGUGCCGCAGCUAACGCAUUAAGUG
rnacentral:rRNA from 1 species